AGGCCCCUACGGGGGGCAGCAGUGGGGAAUAUUGCACAAUGGGGGAAACCCUGAUGCAGCAACGCCGCGUGAGUGAAGAAGUAUUUCGGUAUGUAAAGCUCUCUCAGCAGGGAAGAAGAUGAUGGUACCUGAUUAAGAAGCCCCAGCUAACUACGUGCCAGCAGCCGCGGUAAUACGUAGGGGGCAAGCGUUAUCCGGAUUUACUGGGUGUAAGGGGAGCGUAGACGGCAUAGCAAGUCUGAAGUGAAAGCCCAAGGCUCAACCAUGGGACUGCUUUGGAAACUGUUAAGCUA
rnacentral:rRNA from 1 species